UACGUAGGGUGCGAGCGUUGUCCGGAAUUAUUGGGCGUAAAGAGCUCGUAGGCGGUCUGUCGCGUCGAUCGUGAAAACUUGGGGCUUAACCCUGAGCUUGCGGUCGAUACGGGCAGACUAGAGUUCGGUAGGGGAGACUGGAAUUCCUGGUGUAGCGGUGAAAUGCGCAGAUAUCAGGAGGAACACCGGUGGCGAAGGCGGGUCUCUAGGCCGACACUGACGCUGAGGAGCGAAAGCGUGGGGAGCGAACAGG
rnacentral:rRNA from 1 species